rnacentral:rRNA from 1 species
AUUGAACGCUGGCGGCAGGCCUACACAUGCAAGUCGAGCGGAUGACGGGAGCUUGCUCCUUGAUUCAGCGGCGGACGGGUGAGUAAUGCCUAGGAAUCUGCCUGGUAGUGGGGGACAACGUUUCGAAAGGAACGCUAAUACCGCAUACGUCCUACGGGAGAAAGCAGGGGACCUUCGGGCCUUGCGCUAUCAGAUGAGCCUAGGUCGGAUUAGCUAGUUGGUGGGGUAAUGGCUCACCAAAGCGACGAUCCGUAACUGGUCUGAGAGGAUGAUCAGUCACACUGGAACUGAGACACGGUCCAGACUCCUACGGGAGGCAGCAGUGGGGAAUAUUGGACAAUGGGCGAAAGCCUGAUCCAGCCAUGCCGCGUGUGUGAAGAAGGUCUUCGGAUUGUAAAGCACUUUAAGUUGGGAGGAAGGGCAGUAAGCUAAUACCUUGCUGUUUUGACGUUACCGACAGAAUAAGCACCGGCUAACUCUGUGCCAGCCGCCGCCGUAAGAC